AUUGAACGCUGGCGGCAGGCUUAACACAUGCAAGUCGAGCGAGCGGCGGACGGGUGAGUAAUGUCUGGGAAACUGCCUGAUGGAGGGGGAUAACUACUGGAAACGGUAGCUAAUACCGCAUACCAUCAGAUGUGCCCAGAUGGGAUUGGCUCGUAGGUGGGGUAAUGGUUUACCUAGGCGACGAUCCCUAGCUGGUCUGAGAGGAUGACCAGCCAAACUGGAACUGAGCCACGGUCCAGACUCCUACGCGAGGAAGCAGUGGGGAUUAUUGCACAAUUGGCGCAAGCCUGAUGCAGCCAUGCCGCGUGUGUUAAGAAGGCCUUCGGGUUGUAAAGCACUUUCAGCGAGGAGGCGUUACUCGCGGAAGAGGCACCGGCUAACGCCGUGCCAGCCGCCGCGGUAAUUC
rnacentral:rRNA from 1 species